AGGGUUGCUUCGAUCGAUCAAGCAGUCUUCUGUAGAGGAAAAAAAUAUUUGAUGAUUAGGAGAGAAAUGCUAUUGGUUGAGAAAUCAGAAAGAAAGAAGAAUAGAGAAAGAAAAAAAAUAAACAAAAAAUAGAAAAAAAUUUUAUAUAAUUUUUUUAUAAUAUUUAAAUAGUUAAAAGUAAAAUAAUAAUAUUUAAAAAAUUAGUUUUAUAUAUCCGAUCUCAUGCAAUGUGUGGGUG
rnacentral:lncRNA from 1 species